GAAGGCCUUAGCUUAAGUGAAAGUAUCUGCUUUGCAUGCAGAAGAUAUGGGUUAAUGUCCUGUAGGUCUUA
rnacentral:tRNA from 1 species